rnacentral:tRNA from 1 species
GGGAAUGUAGCUCAGUGGUAGAGCACUCUUCUAGCAUAUGUGAAGUCCUGGGUUCCAUCCUCAGUACCACCA